rnacentral:lncRNA from 1 species
AUAAUACUUGUUACUUGCAAAAUAAAAUUUAUCUUGUCUUUUGUUUAAUAAACAAGACAACCCAUUAUAAAAUAAAAUAUGAAAACCCAUAUUAAAAAAGUCAAACCCCCUUGGCUAAUUACUUAUAGAACACCUAUUUGGGGUAAACAGUAGUUCAAUGUUAAAUCACAUAGUUAGAUCUUGAGUUUCAUAUGUUCUUUCAAUAUUUCGAACGCUUAUUUUCAUUUUUAUUUACUUCUUAAAAAAUUUAUGUGAUUUUUGAAUGUUAAAAAUUUAGAAUAUGUAUCUCUUUUGUAUGUAAUCAAGAAAUUACUUGCAAGUAUCAUUUUUUCUUUCAAAGUAUUUGUUUCAAACAAGUCAAGUAACAAGUUUUAAAAAAAACUAGUCGAACAAACCAAGUCAAGUAGCAAGUAACCAAGAAUUGACAAGUACUUGUCUUGUGCCCACCCCUAAAGAGGUUAAAAACAAUUGCAUGUACUUUACAAAAAAAAAAAAAACAAUCACCAUCUUCGCCUACAUAUCAAAUUAAUAUUUGUAUAUACUAUUAUCUCGCAGUAUUUAGGUAUAGAACACGAACUCAAGAACACAAGAACUUCAAGUCCAAAUAUCAGUUUCUUAUUAAUCACUCAAUCACUCACUCAAAACUCGUAAUCAUUACAACUCAAUGGUAAUCACUUAUAUAGGACAUAACAAUUCCUAUUCUCAUUAGGAAUAACACAAAUCAUAUUUCCUAAUCACUUUAGUAAUCCAUAUCUUUGUGUGAUUAGGUUAGCUUGUACUUCAAGCUAUCUUUCAAGUUUAUCUCCAACAAUCUCCCUCUUAAACUUGAAAUUAUCUUCACUCACCAUUUGGACUCCAAUCAAUUUCCUCAUCUCGAUAAGUUUUACUCUUCCAAGAGAUUUCGUCAAAAUGUCAGCUCGCUGCUCAGUUCCCGGAACGUGCUCUACUUCUACUUGAUCAUUCUCAACGCACUCUCUUAUAAAAUGAAACCUCCUGUGUAUGUGUUUGCUUCGUCCAUGGAAUACUGGGUUCUUCGUCAAUGCGAUUGCAGAUUUAUUAUCUACCUUUAUAACCACCUUUCGGCUUUCAUUACCAAUGACUUCCCCUAGAAGUUCUUGAAUCCAAAUUGCCUGUUUAGCUGCUUCAGUUGCUGCCAUAAACUCGGCUUCACAUGAUGAUAGGGCCACGAUUUCUUGUUUGCAAGAACACCACGAGAUUGGACUAGCAUUCAGGUAAAACACAUAUCCCGUAGUACUCUUCCCAUCAUCAAUAUCAACAUUGAGAGAGGCAUCACUAAAGCCUGUCAGCUCCAAGCUUGUGGACUGUGUAUAGACGAGACCAAGUGAGAUGGUUCCUCGCAGGUAUCGUAGUACCUGUUUUAACGCAGCACCAUGCGACUCCUUAGGAGCGUGCAUGUAUCUACUCAGAACACCCACACUAAACGAGAGAUCAGGCCGCGUGUGGAGCAAGUAUCGCAGACAUCCAAUACUCCUUCGAUAAUCUCUUUCAUCAAUGCUCUUCUCUUCUAUCGAUUUAGCCAACUUCACGUUAAAAUCCAUGGGAACAGUGGUUGAGUUACAUGCGUCCAUUCCACAUUCUUCAAGUAUCUUACGAGCAUAUCGAUCUUGUUUCAGCGUGAUCCCUUCUUUACCUUGACAGACCUCAAUGCCAAGGUAAUAGGUUAGUCUUCCAAGAUCACUCAUAUCAAACUUUGUUGCCAUCUCCCUCUUAAACACUUGAAUUGAAUGUGCUGAUGUUCCUGUGACAAGAAGAUCAUCGACAUACACUACAACUAUGAGAGUUCCACCUUUUUCUUCCUUUCGAUACAAUGAAGGUUCUUUCGAACACCUCUGAAACUUAAACUCCCGCAAGAUAGUAUUCAACUUGAUAUUCCAAGCUCUAGGUGCUUGUUUCAAUCCGUAGAGAGCCUUUCUCAGCUUGUAGACUUUGUUUUCUUUUCCUGCAACUUCGAAGCCUUCUGGUUGAGUGACAAAUACCUCUUCUCUGAGCUCUCCAUGGAGAAACGCGGUUUUAACAUCAAGGUGAUGGAUCUCCCAAAGUUUAGAGGCUGCAAGGGCAAUAACUAGUCGGAUAGUCUCAAUGCGAGCCACUGGUGCGAACACUUCAUCAUAAUCCACUCCUUGCUUCUGAACAUAGCCCUUUGCAACCAGACGAGCUUUGUAUUUAGUAAUAGUACCAUCCGCAUUCCUCUUUAUCUUAAAUAUCCACUUCAGACCUAUUGGUCUUACUCCCAUAGGAAGAUCAACAAGUUCCCAAGUUUUAUUCUUUUCAAUACUCGAUAUCUCAUCUUCACAAGCAUCAACCCAUACCUUUAAUCUCUUGGCCUCAGUGAAAUCCCAUGGUUCAUCGUUUAUUAUUGAUAACAGUCGUUCACACUCUGCUUCAGCCAUUAGAACGUAAUCCUCAAGAUAAGCCGGCAAGUUGCUGGUUCUAGACGAUCGUCUCAGUUGUGGUUGUUCUUCCUCAUCAUUACCAUUGUCAUCUUCAUCAUUUUCUUCAUUAUCAAUAAUCUCAGUGUCUGUCUCAUCUCCUGUUUCACCCGUUUCAUCUAUCUCAUCGCUUUCAUCCGUUCCUUUUAGCUCAAUACUAAAAGUGCCACCAUCAUCAUCUUGAACUGUUUUGCUAGUCCAGUUCCAUCCUUUACUCUCAUCAAAAAUUACAUCACGACUGACUACUAUUCUCCUUUUAGUAGGAUCUAGUAAUCGAUAAGCCUUAGACCCUGGUUCUGUUCCCAAGUGAACCAGAACCUUUGACCUAUCAUCGAGCUUCUUUCGGCCCACUGCAUCAGUCUUGGCGUAACAUAUGCAACCAAACACCUUAAGGUGUGAUACAUUUGGUGUUUUACUUCGCAGAACUUCAUAAGGUGUCUUUCCUUCCAGGGAUUUAGUCGCAAUUCUAUUUAUUAGAUACGUAGAAUGCCUAACAGCUUCGCCCCACAGUUCAUUCGGUACCUUCAUGUGUUUUAAUAUACUCCUGGUCAUCUCCAGAAGUGUCCGGUUACGCCUCUCGACAACGCCAUUCUGUUGAGGUGAGUAUGGUGCCGUUAAGUGCCUCUUAAUACCAUUCUCAUCGCAGUACAUGUGAAACUCUUUGGAGCAGAAUUCUCCCCCUCUAUCUGAACGGAACGUUUUUAUCUCGCAUUUUGUUUCUUGUUCGACUAGCUUCUUGAAGUUUUUAAACUUCUCGAAUGCUUCACUUUUCUCUUGUAACAGUAUAGUCCACAUAUAACGUGAAAAAUCAUCAAUUAGUACGAACACAUAUCUCUUUUGCGCCGGUGUUGGUGGUGUGAUAGGUCCGCAGAGGUCACCAUGUAUGAGCUCUAGAGGGCCGGUGGCUCGAUAUGUGGUAGCUUGAGGAAAAGAUUUCCUCGUUUGCUUGCCGAGUAGGCAAGACAUACAUGUUUCCUUUUCAACUCGCAAAGCUGGUAUGCCAGUCACUCGUUCCUUAUUUACCAUUGCUUUCAUUGUAUCUGUAUUGAUAUGCCCAAGACGCGCAUGCCAUCUUGAUGACUCGUUUCGUGCUGAUAUCUGAAGACAGUGGAGAUUGUCGACUUCUAAAGUCACCUUGUAUAGUCGGUUCUUAGCUCGGAUUGAUUUCACCAUCAACUUUCCAUAUCGAUCAAACAACAUGAGUUCUUCAUCUUUCAUUCGAACCUCGCAUCCUGCUUCUGUAGCUUGACCUAAGCUGACUAUGUUACUCUUUAACCCGGGAAUAUAGUACACGUUACCUAGGAUUUUCUUCUCAUCUCCUUUAAAAACAAACUGAAUCGAUCCUUUUCCUUUUAUAUCAAUGCGGGAAUCAUCUCCAAAUCUUACUUUUCCAGUGAUUGUUUCAUCAAGUUUAUGAAAAAAUCUUCUAUUGCCGCUCAUGUGGUUACUCGCACCAUUAUCAAGAUACCAGACAUUAUUUGUAUCUAGACUUGUAUCAAACACACUCGGGUCUACUCUCUGCUCGUUGAGGUAGACAAUCUCAUUCAUCAUUAGCUCAUCAGCCUCUUGCGUUUCCUCUGUUUUGUUUUCAACUGUUUCUUGCAGCUUAAGUCCUUGCUUAUCAGGACAUUCAGUCGCAUAAUGCCCUUGCUUAUCACAAUUAAAACAAGUAAUAUGUGAGAGGUCACGUCCUUGACCUUGUCUGUAUGCAUCUCUUUGGCUAUAGAAGUUUCCGGACCUGCCACGGCCUCUUCCUCUCCAAGUGGAACGGCCUCCGCGUCCUCUGCCUCGGGCUCCCCCAUAGUUGCCAUAAUUCGUUUGAUUAGAUUCAGAGUUGGCAUACAUCAGCUUUCCUUGGUCAUCUUGUUGUUCAUCAUCUUCUUCACAGAUUCUUUCCUCAUAAGCCUUGAGUCUUCCCACGAUAUCUUCAAAACUUGUUACUUUCAAGUCAAGAACUUGUUCAAGUGAAGCAACAAUAUGAAUGUACUUCUUCCGUGGUAGACUUUUCAGGAAUUUUUUCACGAUUUUCGUUUCUUCAAUGACUUCACCGAGAGAAGCAGAUUUUGAUGAUAUCUCCGAUAGCUUGCCUACGAAGGUAUCGAUCGUGUCGUCCUCUUUCAUCUUAAGACGAUCAAAUUCUGCCAUUAGUGUUUGCAAACGAGCUUCUCGUACUCUUUCAGCCCCAACAUGUCGUGCUUUAAUCGCGUCCCACACGGCUUUUGCAUUAUCAAGUUCACCAACUUGCAGUGUUAGCGAUUCGGGAAUUGACUGGAAGAGUAAUGCGAUAGCCAUAUUGUUUUUAUCUUCGAUUUUGUUUCCAGGAUCAAUGGUUUCCCACACUUUGUUGACCUUAAGAGCUAUCUUCAUCUUCAUGGCCCAGACAAUGUAAUUUGUAUUGUUUAGCAUAGGAAGUUUUAUCGACGAGGGUCCGGUUUUCCCGUUUCUUCUUUAACAUCACUCAUGAUAAUAUAGGGCUCUGAUACCAAAUAUUAUCUCGCAGUAUUUAGGUAUAGAACACGAACUCAAGAACACAAGAACUUCAAGUCCAAAUAUCAGUUUCUUAUUAAUCACUCAAUCACUCACUCAAAACUCGUAAUCAUUACAACUCAAUGGUAAUCACUUAUAUAGGACAUAACAAUUCCUAUUCUCAUUAGGAAUAACACAAAUCAUAUUUCCUAAUCACUUUAGUAAUCCAUAUCUUUGUGUGAUUAGGUUAGCUUGUACUUCAAGCUAUCUUUCAAGUUUAUCUCCAACAUAUACAACCCUUCAAGUAAAAGUCUCAUUCCUCUUGUAACCAUAAGGUACGUGUGUAUACUCUUAAUCAUAGACAGACAUUAACUUCAUGUUCAAGCUCCCGGAAAUGACAAUCUCCGUGGGUUCACAGCUCCAGG